GCUUCUGUAGCUCCAAUCGGUAGAGCGGGGACCCUGUAAGUCUCAAGUUGUGAGUUCGAGUCUCACCAGAAGCCCCA
rnacentral:tRNA from 1 species